rnacentral:tRNA from 1 species
GGUGGCUCAGUGGUAGAGCGCUUGCCUUGCCUUGCCUUGCAUGCAUGAGGCCCUGGGUUCGAUUCCUCAGCACCA